AAAGUUACUUCGGUACAUCGGUGACAGGUGUGCAUGGUUGUCGUCAGCUCGUGUCGUGAGAUGUUGGGUUAAGUCCCGCAACGGAGCGCAACCCCUAUUGUUAGUUGCCAUCAUUCAGUUGGGCACUCUAGCGAGACUGCCGGUAAUAAACCGGAGGAAGGUGGGAUGACGUCAAAUCAUCAUGCCCCUUAUGACCUGGGCUACACACGUGCUACAAUGGUUGGUACAACGAGUUGCGAGUCGGUGACGGCGAGCUAAUCUCUUAAAGCCAAUCUCAGUUCGGAUUGUAGGCUGCAACUCGCCUACAUGAAGUCGGAAUCGCUAGUAAUCGCGGAUCAGCACGCCGCGGUGAAUACGUUCCCGGGCCUU
rnacentral:rRNA from 1 species